AAACGGAUUACCCACCCUCAAACCAAAUCCUCAUUUUUGCCUUUCUCACUCUAACUGAGUGAAACUGCAAACCAAACAGUAGGUGGGCGUUAGAUUAACGAAGCAAAAAUGCGUCUUCUUUUUUUUCUUCUUCUUCUUAUGCAUUUUACUGACUUUUCUGCCGGUAAACAACCACGCUUACCGGAAUACCAGGCUUUGCUUGCCCUGAAAACUGCCAUUACCGAUGACCCGCAGUUAACUCUUGCCUCAUGGAACAUCUCCACCAGUCACUGUACGUGGAAUGGUGUCACGUGCGACACGCAUCGUCACGUGACCUCUCUUGAUAUUUCUGGGUUUAAUCUUACCGGUACUCUUCCGCCGGAAGUUGGAAAUCUUCGUUUCUUACAAAAUUUGUCUGUUGCUGUUAACCAGUUUACUGGACCUGUACCUGUUGAAAUCUCCUUUAUUCCAAAUCUGAGUUACCUUAAUCUUUCUAAUAACAUAUUCGGGAUGGAAUUCCCUUCGCAGUUAACACGUCUGCGUAACCUCCAAGUCCUUGACCUUUACAACAACAAUAUGACCGGUGAACUUCCCGUUGAGGUGUAUCAGAUGACUAAACUUCGACAUCUACACCUAGGCGGGAACUUUUUCAGUGGCCGCAUUCCUCCGGAGUAUGGAAGAUUCCCGUCUCUAGAGUACCUUGCAGUUUCAGGCAAUGCGUUGGUAGGAGAGAUACCACCGGAGAUUGGAAACAUCGCUACACUUCAGCAGUUGUAUGUAGGAUACUACAAUACCUUCACCGGUGGGAUUCCACCGGCAAUAGGGAACUUAUCGCAGCUCCUUCGGUUUGAUGCUGCUAACUGUGGACUUUCGGGGAAGAUUCCACCGGAGAUUGGGAAGCUUCAGAACCUUGAUACCCUCUUCCUGCAAGUGAAUUCUCUAUCUGGAUCUUUAACGCCGGAGAUAGGUUAUCUGAAGAGCUUGAAAUCUUUGGAUCUGUCGAAUAACAUGUUCUCUGGCGAGAUACCGCCGACAUUUGCGGAGCUUAAGAAUAUCACUCUUGUUAAUCUUUUCCGGAAUAAGCUUUAUGGGUCAAUACCAGAGUUCAUAGAGGACUUGCCGGAACUAGAGGUGUUGCAACUUUGGGAAAAUAACUUUACUGGAAGCAUUCCUCAGGGGUUAGGCACAAAAAGCAAGCUCAAAACUCUUGAUCUCAGUUCCAAUAAAUUAACGGGAAAUUUACCCCCAAACAUGUGCUCCGGUAACAAUCUGCAGACAAUUAUCACUCUAGGGAACUUCUUGUUUGGCCCAAUUCCUGAAUCUUUGGGUAGGUGUGAAUCACUUAAUCGUAUUAGAAUGGGAGAAAAUUAUCUGAAUGGGUCUAUUCCAAAAGGGCUCUUAAGCUUGCCACAUCUGUCACAAGUUGAACUUCAGAAUAAUAUUCUCACUGGUACAUUUCCUGAUAUUUCUUCCAAAUCUAACAGUCUUGGCCAGAUUAUCCUUUCAAAUAAUCGCUUAACUGGACCUUUGCCACCAAGCAUUGGAAACUUUGCUGUAGCCCAAAAAUUGCUUCUUGAUGGGAACAAAUUUUCGGGACGAAUUCCAGCUGAAAUAGGAAAGCUUCAACAGCUAUCCAAAAUUGAUUUCAGUCAUAACAACUUGUCUGGACCCAUUGCUCCGGAGAUUAGCCAGUGCAAGUUGCUGACUUAUGUUGAUCUCAGCAGGAACCAACUUUCGGGUGAGAUUCCUACUGAGAUCACAGGUAUGAGAAUACUCAACUACUUGAAUUUAUCGCGAAACCACUUAGUUGGGAGUAUUCCUGCCCCUAUUUCUAGUAUGCAGAGUUUAACUUCUGUUGAUUUCUCGUAUAACAACUUUUCUGGUUUAGUUCCUGGAACCGGGCAAUUUAGUUAUUUCAAUUACACCUCAUUUCUAGGCAAUCCAGAUCUUUGCGGACCCUAUUUGGGCCCUUGCAAAGAGGGCGUUGUUGAUGGGGUUAGUCAACCUCACCAACGAGGAGCCUUAACGCCUUCGAUGAAGCUUUUACUUGUUAUAGGUUUGCUUGUCUGUUCUAUUGUGUUUGCUGUUGCUGCAAUUAUAAAGGCCCGAUCUUUAAAGAAGGCAAGUGAAGCUCGUGCCUGGAAGCUAACUGCUUUUCAGCGCCUGGAUUUUACUUGUGAUGAUAUUUUGGAUAGCUUGAAGGAGGAUAACGUUAUUGGAAAAGGAGGUGCUGGUAUUGUCUACAAGGGGGUAAUGCCUAGCGGGGAACAUGUAGCGGUUAAGAGGUUGCCAGCUAUGAGCAGGGGUUCCUCUCAUGAUCAUGGGUUCAAUGCAGAGAUACAGACUCUUGGGAGGAUCCGACACAGGCACAUUGUUAGAUUAUUAGGAUUUUGCUCGAAUCAUGAGACAAAUCUUUUGGUUUACGAGUACAUGCCUAAUGGAAGUCUUGGGGAAAUGCUUCAUGGCAAGAAAGGCGGUCAUUUACAUUGGGAUACCAGGUAUAAGAUUGCCUUGGAGUCUGCUAAGGGUCUUUGCUAUCUCCAUCACGAUUGCUCUCCUUUGAUCCUCCAUCGUGAUGUGAAAUCAAACAACAUUCUGCUGGACUCCAGCUUUGAAGCUCAUGUUGCUGAUUUUGGACUUGCUAAGUUCUUGCAAGAUUCAGGGACAUCAGAAUGCAUGUCUGCUAUUGCUGGUUCUUAUGGGUACAUUGCUCCAGGUAUUUUAUAAAAGCCUUCAAUCUUCAUAUCUUGACAUUCUUAGUUUCUAACGUGUUCGAAUUUAUUUUUCUUGUCACAUCAUGCUAUGCGAGUUUACUGCCGAAGUUACAAACAUACUGAUGAACUGAAAUUUAU
rnacentral:misc_RNA from 1 species